UAAGAGUUCAAAAGACACCCAGGUGGAUUCGUUCUCCAGCUAAACCCUGAGAGAUUAUCUGACGUACAGCAGGACUUGGGGACAGGCGAUUUGCUGACAGUGAAGGACAGAGCUGCUGCUGAUGGUGCUGCCUCAGGGCAAUGUGGAAGCUGGUAGAUGGAGGUGAAGUGAAAUUGGAGCAGUCAGUUUCUGGCUCCCUCGUGUGGUCGCAGACUUACUGCUUCAGUGUUGGCAAGGAUGAGAUUGAGAUUAAAGUCCAUCAAGACACAAUCUCAGUCAGCCUGCACGGACUCUCUUACUGUCUACUGUCAGAUCUCACAUCACUACACCCCUUUCCAUGACACCUGGCGCUGAUGCUGUCUUAUUCUUUUGUAGUUCAAUCUGGAGGUGGCCCCAGUAAGAAUAAUGUAUGAAAUAUACUUUUAAGAUGACAUCGUGGUCCCAUGAUGGACCUCUUCUUUAUUAAUAAACAAUUAUUUUAAUAUUCAAAACUCAUGAACC